UGGAAAUGAUGAAAUAGAGAUAAUUGGGUGUUGAAUGUUGUGUGACUGGAAAAUUUUAAUGUGUGAGUUUAGUAAGUUUAAUAUUUUAUAGAUAAUAGAAUGUGUGUGUGUGUGUGUUCAUGGAGGCUAUUGAAAGGGGGCACUGAUUGGUGAUGCUGAUAUUGGAGUGCAUCUGAGGCUGUUGUAGAAAUACAUGGGCUGUUGAUUACAACAUUGCCGAUGAUUAUAACCCAAGAACAGCUCACCUAAGUAGCCUAGCACCCUAAAAUCUCUAACAGGUUCAUGAAACCUGUGAUCUGAUCCAA
ensembl:scaRNA small Cajal body-specific RNA 7